GACGAACGCUGGCGGCGUGCCUAAUACAUGCAAGUAGAACGCCGUUGCGAACGGGUGAGUAACGCGUAGGUAACUGCCUCAUAGCGGGGGAUAACUAUUGGAAACGAUAGCUAAUUACGCAUACUGUGAGAUGGACCUGCGUUGUCUUAGCUAGUUGGGGCGGUAAAGGUUCACCACGGCGACGAUACAUAGCCGACCUGAGAGGGUGAUCGGGCAUAAUGGGACUGAGACACGGGCCAGAAUCCUUAAGGAGGCAGCAGUAGGGAAUCUUCGGCAAGGGACGGAAGGCUGACCGAGCAACGCCGCGUGGUUGAAGAAGGUUUUCGGAUCGUAAAGCUCUGUUGUGAGAGAAGCGUUACCUAACCAGAAAGGGACGGCUAACUACGUGCCAGCAGCCGCGGUAAUUC
rnacentral:rRNA from 1 species